rnacentral:rRNA from 1 species
AGUGAACGCUGGCGGUAGGCCUAACACAUGCAAGUCGAACGGCAGCACAGUAAGAGCUUGCUCUUACGGGUGGCGAGUGGCGGACGGGUGAGGAAUACAUCGGAAUCUACUUUUUCGUGGGGGAUAACGUAGGGAAACUUACGCUAAUACCGCAUACGACCUACGGGUGAAAGCAGGGGAUCUUCGGACCUUGCGCGAUUGAAUGAGCCGAUGUCGGAUUAGCUAGUUGGCGGGGUAAAGGCCCACCAAGGCGACGAUCCGUAGCUGGUCUGAGAGGAUGAUCAGCCACACUGGAGGUGAGACAGGGUCAAGACUCCUACGGGAGGCAGCAGUGGGGAAUAUUGGACAAUGGGCGCAAGCCUGAUCCAGCCAGACCGCGUGGGUGAAGAAGGCCUUCGGGUUGUAAAGCCCUUUUGUUGGGAAAGAAAAGCAGCAGGUUAAUACCCCGCUGUUCUGACGGUACCCAAAGAAUAAGCACCGGCUAACUUCGUG